rnacentral:rRNA from 1 species
CAGGGCUUGACAUGCAGGUGAAUAUGGCAGAGAUGCUAUAGUCUUUCGGGACACCUGUGCAGGUGGUGCAUGGUUGUCGUCAGCUCGUGUCGUGAGAUGUUGGGUUAAGUCCCGCAACGAGCGCAACCCUUGUUGUUAGUUGCCAUCACUAAGUUGGGCACUCUAACGAGACUGCCGGUGACAAAUCGGAGGAAGGUGGGGACGACGUCAAAUCAUCAUGCCCCUUAUGUCCUGGGCUACACACGUACUACAAUGGCUAUAACAGCAGGGAGCUAAGGCGUAAGCCGGAGCGAAUCCUCAAAAAUAGUCCCAGUUCGGAUUGUGGGCUGCAGCCCGCCCACAUGAAGUCGGAAUUGCUAGUAAUGGCAGGUCAGCAUACUGCCGUGAAUACGUUCC